rnacentral:sRNA from 1 species
CUGGCCCCGCCCCGUCCUAUUCGGGCUCCCGCCUCUGUUCAGGACACUGGGUCCCCUAGGAGCCUCCCCAGGCUUAAUGAUUGUCCAGAAGGUGGCUAUAAAGGGAGCUUGGGAGGCAGGGUGGAGGAGGGAGCAGAAAAAACCCAACUCAGCAGAUCUGGAAACUGUGAGAGCGGCAAGCAGGAGCUGUGGUCAGAGGCUGUGCGUCUUGGCUGGUAGGGCCUGCUCUUUUCUACCAUGGCAGCCCAGGGCUAUGGCUAUUAUCGCACUGUGAUCUUCUCAGCCAUGUUUGGGGGCUACAGCCUGUAUUACUUCAAUCGCAAGACCUUCUCCUUUGUCAUGCCAUCAUUGGUGGAAGAGAUCCCUUUGGACAAGGAUGAUUUGGGGCUCAUCACCAGCAGCCAGUCGGCAGCUUAUGCUAUCAGCAAGUUUGUCAGUGGGGUGCUGUCUGACCAGAUGAGUGCUCGCUGGCUCUUCUCUUCUGGGCUGCUCCUGGUUGGCCUGGUCAACAUAUUCUUUUCCUGGAGCUCCACAGUACCUGUCUUUGCUGCCCUCUGGUUCCUUAAUGGCCUGGCCCAGGGGCUGGGCUGGCCCCCAUGUGGGAAGGUCCUGCGGAAGAGCUACAGCUGGCGCAGCACGCUGGCCCUGUCUGGGGCACUGUGUGUGGUUGUCUCCUUCCUCUGUCUCCUGCUCAUCCACAAUGAACCUGCUGAUGUUGGACUCCGCAACCUGGACCCCAUGCCCUCUAAGGGCAAGAAGGGCUCCUUGAAGGAGGAGAGCACCCUACAGGAGCUGCUGCUGUCCCCUUACCUGUGGGUGCUCUCCACUGGUUACCUUGUGGUGUUUGGAGUAAAGACCUGCUGUACUGACUGGGGCCAGUUCUUCCUUAUCCAGGAGAAAGGACAGUCAGCCCUUGUAGGUAGCUCCUACAUGAGUGCCCUGGAAGUUGGGGGCCUUGUAGGCAGCAUCGCAGCUGGCUACCUGUCAGACCGGGCCAUGGCAAAGGCGGGACUGUCCAACUAUGGGAACCCUCGCCAUGGCCUGUUGCUGUUCAUGAUGGCUGGCAUGACAGUGUCCAUGUACCUCUUCCGGGUAACAGUGACCAGUGACUCCCCCAAGCUCUGGAUCCUGGUAUUAGGAGCUGUAUUUGGUUUCUCCUCGUAUGGCCCCAUUGCCCUGUUUGGAGUCAUAGCCAAUGAGAGCGCCCCUCCCAAAUUGUGUGGCACCUCCCACGCCAUUGUGGGACUCAUGGCCAAUGUGGGCGGCUUUCUGGCUGGGCUGCCCUUCAGCACCAUUGCCAAGCACUACAGUUGGAGCACAGCAUUCUGGGUGGCUGAAGUGAUUUGUGCAGCCAGCACAGCUGCCUUCUUCCUCCUACGAAACAUCCGCACCAAGAUGGGCCGAGUGUCCAAGAAGGCUGAGUGAAGAGAGUCCAGGCUCCGGAGCACCAUCCCACGGUGGCCUUCCCCCUGCACGCUGUGGGGGAGAAAAGGAGGGGCCUGCCUGGCUAGCCCUGAACCUUUCACUUUCCAUUUCUGCGCCUUUUCCCUCACCUGGGUGGCACUGGAAGUUAUCAGUGGCUAGUGAGGUCCCAGCUCCCCGAUCCUAUGCUCUAUUUAAAAGAUAACCUUUGGCCUUAGACUCCAUUAGCUCCUAUUUCCUGCCUUCAGACAAACAGGAAACUUCUGCAGUCAGGAAGCCUCCUGUACCCUUCUUCUUUUCCUAGGCCCUGUCCUGCCCCCAUCCCCACCAGAAGUGAGGCUAUCCCUGCAGCUGCAGGGCACUAAUGACCCUUGACUUCUGCUGGGCCCUAAGUCCUCUCAGCAGUGGUCGACUGCUGUUGCCAAUACCUCAGACUCCAGGGAAAGAGAGGAGGCCAUCAUUCUCACUGCACCACUAG